rnacentral:rRNA from 1 species
UAAGACGAACCGUACGAACGUUAUUCGGAAUUACUGGGCUUAAAGGGUGCGUAGGCUGCACGGAAAGUUGGGUGUGAAAGCCCUCAGCUCAACUGAGGAAUUGCAUCCAAAACUGCCGUGCUAGAGGGAGACAGAGGUGAGCGGAACUCAAGGUGGAGCGGUGAAAUGCGUUGAUAUCUUGAGGAACACCGGUGGCGAAAGCGGCUCACUGGGUCUCUUCUGACGCUGAGGCACGAAAGCUAAGGUAGCAAACGGGAUUAGAUACCCCGGUAGUCUUAGCUGUAAACGAUGAGCACUUGAUUGGAGGGUCCUCCAUAGCCUUCCAGUCGUAGCGAAAGUGUUAAGUGCUCCGCCUGGGGAGUAUGGUCGCAAGGCUG